AGUUUACUCUUCAGUAAAUUGGACACACUAACAGCACCCACGUCACCGGAUUGUGAGGAUCAUAUCAAUUAGGACUCUUUCAGCCUCAAAUAACAGACAACCCAACUAAAAUUGGCUUAAACAAUAAGGAGAUUUAAUGUCAUGUAAAAAACCUGGAGGUAGGGAGGCCCUGGAGUUGGGGAUUUACAGCUCAAAGGUGUCAGGCUCUAGGUCGGCUUCUCUACAAUUCACUUUCCCCUCAAGGUCACAAGAUGGCUGCCACAGCUCCAGGCAUCACAUCCUCACCCAACAUUCAAAGGCAGGAAAAGGCAAGUCUCUGCUUUAUGUUCCCUUUGGAAAGCAAGGAGGGACUUCCUAGGAGCCCUCUGCCUCCACUCUGACAGAUGCCCUCUCAGCUCCCAUCUUCCAGGACCGGGUCCCGUGCCCAGGCCUAAGUCAAUCCUGGGCAAGAUCACUAGAUGGGCUGAGAGCAAUUCCAAUCACCCCUGGAUCCACGGCUGGAGCCAUCUUUCCUGAGCACCACUGAGUCGGGGGGUGAACCCCCAAACCAAACAGGAGACUCUUGAGGCUUGGAAGAUGGAACCAACAGUGAUGGCCGUGCGGCUGAAACAGGGUGAUCCACACUAAGCCGGUGGCCCAGCGCUGGGGCGUGGCGACACUCGGCGAGGGCGAGCUGUCGCACUUGGACAGCCUUGUGUAAUGUAAAAGCAAGAGACAGUGUCACCCAACCUGAGUCCUCGUCAGCUCAGCUCUGGAGCCAGCCCUGCCUCUUCCCAGGGUGUGAUUUGGGGGCAAGUUAUUCCACGACUUUGUGCCUCAGUUUCCUCAUCUGUGAAAUGAAAAUAACAAUUUUCUUCUUCCUUACCCCAAGGCCUUCAUGAGGUCGAAUGAAUUCACGUCCACCAAUCCCCUGGAAGAGCACCCGGGGUUCCCGCUCGCCCUUCACCAUUGGUCACGCCCGUGCGCUCGGGCAGCAGCCCCACGGGGGGUGGCAGCAGGAAGCGGGCCUGCUCCCUGAGUUUCUUUCUCUCUCUGGUGAAGGGUCCCAGGCUGCAGUUUCUCACUGAGGAAGGGAGGAGAGGGGAGUCCGGGGGGAGGGGGGGGGGCCCAUUCCGCCCUGCCCCCUGCUGGGAGAGGGGCCGCGCAUGGGAAGAGCACGGGUGGGGCUGGUCGCCUCUGCCCUUGUCUGCGAGCACCAAGGGCCAGGAAGGGAGGAAGCAGCAGAGACCCUGGGACAGCCACGGGGAGACUCCGAUCUGGGCCUGCAGACACAAGGGGGCAGACGGUGGGGGGAAAGGGCCAGCCCGGCCGGACUCAGUGCCCCAGGUCCUAUCUCAUCACAGUCGGCUGUGUGGCCUCGGCAAAACAUCUCCACCUCUCUGAGCUCCAGCUUCCUGGGUGCCAGAGGAGACUAGUUAUAUUGAGCCGACAGUGGGGGAUGGACUAUUAAAGCGUUAACCACCUCUGGAGAAUUAUGAGGCUGUGGGACCCAUCGCCCCAACCCCUUCUCAAGAUGCCUCCCACCACAGGAUCUGCACAUCGGAGUCCAGGGGCCCUUGGGGGUCACUUAGCUCAGGUUUGGUUUUACAGAUGAGAAAACUGAGGCCUGGAGAAGAUAAACCCCGGUCAGACCCCCACACCAGGCCCCUCCUGGCCAGAGGCUUUCUGCGCCCUCCGUCUGUCUCUCUCUCACCCCCUCCAUCUUGCUCUCUCUCCUCUCGCUCUUUCUUUCCCUGGGGCUUUCUCCCCUCUGUUUAAAUCCUGGUCUAGUUGUCUUUCUCUGUCCCCUGCGUUUGACUGCACGUCUUUCUCUGUCACUCAUCAGCCACUCUACAUUCCUCCCUCUCUCCCCAUCUCCAAUCCCGUAGCUUCCCUGUCAUUUUCGAAACAGCUUAAAAGAAAAAUAAAAACUCUGAUAAGCCCAGAGCGGGGAUGAGGACGGACUGCAAUCAUCGGGGUCUUGAGAGUGGAGUCCAGCUCUGCCACAACCUCAGGUUCUACAGAAGGGACAAGACUGGGCCCUGGCGGCCGGGGAGGGAGCCAGCCCAGCGCCAGACACAGGAGGGUCGGGCGCCUGACCUUGGGCCUCCCUCGCGCUUGCCAAGGUUCUGAUUCCAGGAGGAGCGGUGUGACCGCCCCCAGUCCCGGCAAAAAUAGCGCAGGGAGCCGUGGCCAGCCUCCCGGACGUCUGGCGGCCCAGGUCUCUGGAGAGACAGUCCAGGCCUCCACCAGGCAGAGCAAGAACCUGCCCAAGGUCACGGAGCAGCUGGGCAGCAGAGCCGGAGCCAGACGCGAGCCUCUGCCCCCCGACUGGCGCCCUCGCAGCCCACCCAGGGCUAGACCAGCUCCCAGUUACAGAGAAACCGCAGGCCUGCCCUCACCUCUCUGCACCGUAACAGCCCCACUUUUGUGACCGUCUCCCACGUUUCCCUGUGGGCUCCUUACCCAGGGGAGUGGAAGUGGCUCUGCCACACAUGCAGUCACCAGGAAUCCUAAUAACAAUGUCAGCUCACCUUCCUCAGGCCCCCGACAGUGCUGGGCGCUUUCUACGCACUGUCCACACAGUGACUCAUUCCCUCUUCACUCCAGCCCUGGGAGGCAGGCGCUGUUAUCAUCACACCCCUCUUAUCGAUGAGGAGACUGAGUCCCAGAGAGGUUAACUGACUUGCCCAAAGUCACAGAGCACUAAGUUUACUGGAGCUGGUCUUCCAACCCAGGCCCUAAAUGAAUUCGUGGAUGAAAAAGGGAAUAAAGGUUUGAGACUCGAGCUUACUAAGCAGCUGCUGCUAUCAUUUGACUGUUGGGCCACUAAGGGUCACAGUGGCCCCCCUCCUGGCCCUGGAAGGCUAGGCCCACAGCUGUCCUCUCAGAAUUCCAUUUCCUGGGGACCCUGGUGCUGGGAGCCCCACCCCCCAAGCCUGUCCCUUCCAGCGGCUGACCUUGGGCAAGUCCCUUUUCUCCUCUGAGCCUCAGUUUCCCCAUCCACCCAAGGGGAAACUUGAUCUAUGUGUCAGGGGUUCAGUAAAUUGAGAUUCCCAAGGGGGCUGGUGGGAUGGACCAGACUGGGGUCCCAAGCUGAGAGUAGCCUGAAAGAGCAAAUUCUAAAAUUCGGUUUCCUUUGGUCAAAAUAUGGAAAUGACUUUAAAAGUACAAGAGGACCUGAGGUUCUCAUGUUUAUCUGAAGGGGGCUCACCAGUAAGGGGUGAGCAGGGCCCCCUGACUCAAAGGGCAUGAGUGCCCUGGCCAGAGGCCGGCCCGGAGGACAUGCAGGCAGAGCCACCCCGCCCUCGGGUGCUGGCCGCAGCCAUCCUGGCACAGCCAGCCUGGGGUUGGUGACAAUCACGUCCCGGGAACUUCUGCCAGAGGGGGACAGCUGGGGAGGAGGAGGAGGCAGAGGGACAGCUGGCUCCAGGGCUCAGGCUGAGUCAUCCUCCGGGGCCGUGGUCUACACGAGUCAGGGGAGAGGGCUGUUUCCAGAGGGAGAGGAGGCAGCAGCGGGGAAGGCAUCCUGGGGCUGUGCCUGGACCGAUCAGCAGGAAAGGACAGACAGCCAGGGCCAGACUGCCACCUAGGGGAGGGUAGCCCCCUUCCCCAGUCUGCCGGCCCCCGCCCCCCACCUGCCGGGCCCAUUUCUUUUCUUCCCUCUGAUCCUGGUACCUGGUGACCAGACCCGGUGCCUCCUCUGGGCCCUCCACACCCUCAAACUCCCCCAUGCUCUCAGCCUCCCUCCCACUCCCUGGCCCCCAGGCCCUUGAAGCUGUCAGGCAACUCUGGGCUCCAGGCCACAGAGGGUGGCCUGGGGUCUCUGGAGCCAGAGAGACAUAGCCCAAAUCCUCCCACCAUUUCUGAGCUGGGUGACCUUGGGUAAGUUACUUGACCACUCUGAGCUGCAGUUCCCUUACUGUGAAAUGGGGAGAACACCGUCUUACUGCCCAAGGCUUCAAAAGGAGGUAUCCCGGGUCUUGCCCUUCCAUUAUGGAACCCGCCACAAUAGGCAAAUCUACAGAGACAGGAAGGAGAUGCGUGGGGGCCUGGGGCAGAGGAGGGGGAAGGGAGCGACCGCUGAGAGGUGAGGGUUCUUUCCGGGUGAUGAGAAUGUGGAUACUCUGGGAAGUGACCGAAGCCACCGAGCCGUGCGCUUUAGAUGGGUAAGUGUGCAGAACAUGAGUUAUAGCCCCAAAGCGCUGGUGAUGAAGGAGGUGCCCGUGGGGUGGAUGGCACGCGUGGGUGCUCCAGGCUCACAGCACACCCCUGUUGGCUGCUCGCCACCUGCCCCCGUCCUGGGCACGGGCUGCCACGUCUUGGCCGGGGCCCGAGGGGUGGAUGCUGAGCUUGAGAGAGGCCCCUGAAGGUCGCUGAGAUGACCUUGGAGGGAAAGGAGGUGGUCCAUCCUCCACCCUCAGGGGGAGGCCGCCAGAGCCAGGGUGACGGGGGGGCAAGACCUGGGACUUAGCAGCCACUGCCAGAGUUUCACCCCCAGCCCCCUUGCUGGCUCUGUGGCCUCAGGCAAAUUGCUUAACCUCUCUGGCCGUCGUUUCCUCUUCUGAAGAAAUGGAGGUGAUGGAAUUCUCAGUCCUGACCAUAGGAGAAAGGAGGGCAUCUGCGCGGCGCAUCUGGAAAAGGGCUUUGCCCAUCCUGAGUGCUUGGAAAAGGGUCUCCGGAGGGAGGGGCUGAGCGAGGUCAGAAGACCCCGAGUCCAGUCUGGCUCCUGCCCACCUAGUGACCCCCACCCUUGCUGGAGCCUCAGGCCCUGCCACGUCCAGGCCUGUGCCUCCCGCUCCUUCUCAGCAGGCCUGUCCCCAGCCUGUCCCCGUGUAACAGACGGACCUGGAGCAGGGAAUCCCCUCUCGGGGUCUUCGUCUGUUCACCUGUCGGAUGAGGGAGGGAGACCGAAGAAGCCCCAGGGCCCCCUUGCUGCCGGCCUCGCCCGCUCCCUGGCCCAGCACGCCUCUAGGGCUUGCCCUCGGCUUCCCCAUGUCCUGUGUCCUCAUGUCACCCGCCUGCCUCUCUAGUCGCUCAGAGGCAGGAGCCCACCUUCCUGCUGGGGCUGAAUGAGUGAGCAUCCACCUUGACUGAGGCCCCAGCCAGCUUCACCUGGGCCUGAGGGAGUGACCUUGGGCAAAACCUGGCUCUGGGCCUCAGUUUCGCCCACUAUAAAACAGACCUAAUAAUCUCUGUGUCUUCUUUGUCUUCCUGGGGAGGACGGUGAUGAGCCCUGGCAUCCAGGGGCAGGGAGGACCUUAAAUGAUAUUGAGUUCAACCCCAAAUCCAAUGCUUGAGGACCCCUACCAGGCCCCAGGCUGUGCUUGCAUACCUCUGGAGUGACGGGGAGUUCACUUUCUGCCCACCCAAUCCAUUCUAUCCAUUUGCUUGACAACAGUGACCGCAUCUAACAGGUGCCACACACAGUGGCAGGUUCUGAUGGCUCAAAAGUGAAUAGGGGCCAGGUGACAUAGAGGCAAUGACAUUGUUCAGGCUUGAACCCUGACUGUUUCUGCCUCUUCUUAGCUCUGUGUGGCCCCUGAGAGUCUUAACCGCAUUUCCUCAUCUGUAAAUGGCAGUCACAGCUCCCCGCCUGUGAGGUCACUGGAAAGACCACCCCCAGGUGAGCUGGAGACCCUGGGGCACGAGCUCAGUCACUCUUGGGGAGCAGGUGCCAUCGUUGUCUCAAUUUUUCAAAUGAAUUUUUCAGAGGCACAGAGAUGUUAAGCAACUACCCUGAGGUCACACAGUGAGUGUGACAGGUGGAGCCCAAGCUGGGCCCCGGCUGCCUAUGCCCGGGUCCCUUGUACCUCACACCUCUCACAAGGGGCCUGCUCAGCGUAGCCCAGUUCCCUUCACAUGAUUCGGGGGCAUGAGCGCUCCGUGCUCCCCAGAAGCCUCAGACCCAUUCAGCCUCCUUUUCUUAGAGGGCAAGUGGGGCCGGUGGUUUUCCACUGUUAUUUUUAGCUCUGCCCCCACUGUAUUGUUUCGGAUCCAGAGAACGGAGCCUCCGAGGUCCUGCGAGUGUCCAGCCAGUGUCCGGGGGGUAUAACCUUAGCGGGCUUGCAUAGGAGCAGUGAUGACAAGGCUACCGGAACCUGAGCUCCCCGACCCCCACCCCACCCCCACGGAGACUCGGAUCCACUGCGAGUGACUCAACAGAAGCGGCCCUGCCCCCAUCCCGUCCAACUGGCGUCCACAGGUGGGGAGAGGACAGAGCUCCCAGAAGCCGGAUGAGAGGAGUUGCUCCGGGUCACGAGCUUGGCAUUUCCCAGCUCCACCUCCGUGUCCACUCACCUCCAAGGUCAGCCUCUGCAGAGCCACACAACCUGUGGGAGGGACCCCUCCAAGCCCCAGGGGGUUGGCAAGGAGGACUGGGAUGGGACAGCAGCCACCGUGUGGUGCAGCAGUGAAUCCUACGGCCCCCACCUGCCAGGGAGCGAGUCUGGGCUCUGCCGGUGUGAUGCUGGGAGCUUGGGAGCUGUGUGGUUCCAGCUCAGGUUUCCCGUGAGGCUGUGUCAGGCUGUCGACCGGGCCACAGGCAUCCAAAGGCUGGACUGGGGCUGGAGGACCCUCUUCCAAGGUGGCUUCCUCCCCUGGUGGCAGGCUCACACUGGCUGUUGGCAGAGGCCUCACUUCCUGGCCACAUGGGCCUCUCCACAGGGCCGCUUGGAUGUCCUCACCACACGGCGGCUGGCUUCCCCAGACUGAGCGACCCGCGAGAACAAGGCGGCAGCUGCGAUGUCUCCUAUGACCUAAGCUCGGAAGUCACACUCUGUCACCUACGCAGUAUCCUGUUGGUGACACAAGUCCGAGCUGCUGGCUGUGGGAGGGGAUGACACAAAGGUGUGGACGCCAGGAUCUCUGGGGAGCCAUCUCGGAGGCUGGCCGCACUGUGCCAUGCCUUGGGGCCAGACAGGAAGCAAGACCACCGUUGUUGAUGUCAUGGCUGAGCGUGACUGUGUGUGUAAAUGGCAAAAACCAGCAUGGCGAACCCAAAGAAACAGCUGGAGACGCAUCCUGUGAAGAUGAACAGGGUGGCAUGUGACAGUGGUCAGAGGGAAGGCCUCUUCAGGAGGGUUGGGGUGGGUUUGAGCCUGAGGGUGGACCCAGCCCGCCAUGGAAGGGUCGGGGGAGGCAGUCCCAGGCAGAGGGAACAGCGCCUGUGCCAUGAGAGGGCCGGCCUGCCUGGCUCUAACGCUCGCUUGCGUGCGUCCCUCUUUGACUCAGUUUCCCCGUCUAUAAAAGGGGGAUAAUAACCGUUCCCACUUCCUAUAGGCGUUUCUACAAGGGAAGCCCCUAGCACAGGGCCUGGGGCCGAGUGAGUGCUGGGGACGUGAGGGUCGGGAUCCUCACUCGACACUCUGAUGUUGACUGGGCCGCCAUCCUAAGCAUUGCCUGAUGACAGUCUCGCUUCCUUUAACGUAAUCCUCUAGGAAGGGAGAGGGACCAAGGAGCCAG
rnacentral:lncRNA from 1 species